UGGGGAAUUUUGGACAAUGGGCGAAAGCCUGAUCCAGCAAUGCCGCGUGUGUGAAGAAGGCCUUCGGGUUGUAAAGCACUUUUGUCCGGAAAGAAAUCUUGGCUCUAAUACAGUCGGGGGAUGACGGUACCGGAAGAAUAAGCACCGGCUAACUACGUGCCAGCAGCCGCGGUAAUACGUAGGGUGCAAGCGUUAAUCGGAAUUACUGGGCGUAAAGCGUGCGCAGGCGGUUUGCUAAGACCGAUGUGAAAUCCCCGGGCUCAACCUGGGAACUGCAUUGGUGACUGGCAGGCUAGAGUAUGGCAGAGGGGGGUAGAAUUCCACGUGUAGCAGUGAAAUGCGUAGAGAUGUGGAGGAAUACCGAUGGCGAAGGCAGCCCCCUGGGCCAAUACUGACGCUCAUGCACGAAAGCGUGGGGAGCAAACAGGAUUAGAUACCCUGGUAGUCCACGCCCUAAACGAUGUCAACUAGUUGUUGGGGAUUCAUUUCCUUAGUAACGUAGCUAACGCGUGAAGUUGACCGCCUGGGGAGUACGGUCGCAAGAUUAAAACUCAAAUGAAUUGACGGGGUCAUAGCUGUUUCCU
rnacentral:rRNA from 1 species